rnacentral:lncRNA from 1 species
UCUCUUUGACAAUGAUCGAUCUUCUUUGCCUUCCCUCUACCACUCAACUUCCAUGUUGACAUUUGAGGGCCACAAGGUACAAGGGGUUGAUGAAAUCUCUCAGAAACUCAAUCUGUUGCCAUUCGAUCAAUGCCAACAUGUGAUCAGCACCAUUGACUCACAGCCCUCCUCCUUCACUGGUGGCAUCAUGGUCUUUGUCAGUGGCAGCCUUAAACUACCCGGGGAGGAGCACCAACUAAGAUUUAGCCAGGUAUUAAUUAUCCUUGGCACAGCCGAGAGAAAAAUACACCAAAAACUCAUUAGCCCAUUCCUUAGAUUACAACAAAUUUACUGGUAUGGGACAAGAACCUAGUUAUUGAUAGAAG